UUUUAUGGAGAGUUUGAUCCUGGCUCAGAGUGAACGCUGGCGGCGUGCCUAAUACAUGCAAGUCGAACGAUGAAGCUUCUAGCUUGCUAGAGUGCUGAUUAGUGGCGCACGGGUGAGUAACGCAUAGGUCAUGUGCCUCUUAGUUUGGGAUAGCCAUUGGAAACGAUGAUUAAUACCAGAUACUCCCUACGGGGGAAAGAUUUAUCGCUAAGAGAUCAGCCUAUGUCCUAUCAGCUUGUUGGUAAGGUAAUGGCUUACCAAGGCUAUGACGGGUAUCCGGCCUGAGAGGGUGAACGGACACACUGGAACUGAGACACGGUCCAGACUCCUACGGGAGGCAGCAGUAGGGAAUAUUGCUCAAUGGGGGAAACCCUGAAGCAGCAACGCCGCGUGGAGGAUGAAGGUUUUAGGAUUGUAAACUCCUUUUGUUAGAGAAGAUAAUGACGGUAUCUAACGAAUAAGCACCGGCUAACUCCGUGCCAGCAGCCGCGGUAAUACGGAGGGUGCAAGCGUUACUCGGAAUCACUGGGCGUAAAGAGCGCGUAGGCGGGAUAGUCAGUCAGGUGUGAAAUCCUAUGGCUUAACCAUAGAACUGCAUUUGAAACUACUAUUCUAGAGUGUGGGAGAGGUAGGUGGAAUUCUUGGUGUAGGGGUAAAAUCCGUAGAGAUCAAGAGGAAUACUCAUUGCGAAGGCGACCUGCUGGAACAUUACUGACGCUGAUUGCGCGAAAGCGUGGGGAGCAAACAGGAUUAGAUACCCUGGUAGUCCACGCCCUAAACGAUGGAUGCUAGUUGUUGGAGGGCUUAGUCUCUCCAGUAAUGCAGCUAACGCAUUAAGCAUCCCGCCUGGGGAGUACGGUCGCAAGAUUAAAACUCAAAGGAAUAGACGGGGACCCGCACAAGCGGUGGAGCAUGUGGUUUAAUUCGAAGAUACACGAAGAACCUUACCUAGGCUUGACAUUGAGAGAAUCCGCUAGAAAUAGUGGAGUGUCUGGCUUGCUAGACCUUGAAAACAGGUGCUGCACGGCUGUCGUCAGCUCGUGUCGUGAGAUGUUGGGUUAAGUCCCGCAACGAGCGCAACCCCCUUUCUUAGUUGCUAACAGGUCAUGCUGAGAACUCUAAGGAUACUGCCUCCGUAAGGAGGAGGAAGGUGGGGACGACGUCAAGUCAUCAUGGCCCUUACGCCUAGGGCUACACACGUGCUACAAUGGGGUGCACAAAGAGAAGCAAUACUGCGAAGUGGAGCCAAUCUUCAAAACGCCUCUCAGUUCGGAUUGUAGGCUGCAACUCGCCUGCAUGAAGCUGGAAUCGCUAGUAAUCGCAAAUCAGCCAUGUUGCGGUGAAUACGUUCCCGGGUCUUGUACUCACCGCCCGUCACACCAUGGGAGUUGUGUUUGCCUUAAGUCAGGAUGCUAAAUUGGCUACUGCCCACGGCACACACAGCGACUGGGGUGAAGUCGUAACAAGGUAACCGUAGGUGAACCUGCGGUUGGAUCACCUCCUUUCUAGA
rnacentral:rRNA from 1 species